AAAAAAAUAGUUUGCUCAAAGCAUUACAUCUUAUCAGGUCUUUCUUAAGUUGACAUGUAAAUCGAGCUGUGCAUUACAGAAGUUCACAGUCUUUGGAGUGCAAUCUGUCCACUGUUGGAGUAGAGCUUUUAAGUGAUACCUAGCAAACCUUCUUACCUGCUUCUGACUAUGGAGAAGGGUGCUUUCAGAAAGUUUCUUAGUAGUAACCUUUUUUAUUUUUACUUUGUUUUAUUGGUUUGCUUACAGGCCAGCACCCUGCCCCCCAAGCCACUGCAGUGGGCUCUGUUAUUAUGACUCUGAAGUCUGCAACUGCAAAGUUAAGAAGUUGCGAAGUGAUUUAGAGCGUGACUUUACAAGUGUCUGAAAGUGGUAUUAUUCUGUGAGUACCAUCUCGAGGUGCUGAUUUUGAGUAAGAGUAAAACCUACUUAAACCCAAAGCAGAAUUUUAGAUCCUAAAAUCUUUAGAAAUGGAAAUAUUGGAGUCCUGUAGUUAUUCCUGUAAAUAUGUCAAAAAAUAUUUGGACUGUAACAGAGCAGGUUUGUUUGCCUGACCAAUGCAGAUUUUAAAAUCAGCAAAUUAUGAAACCUUAUUAAAUUAUUAAAAUUAAUUGUCUUCUCUUACAGGGCGAUUUCUAUGUGUUAUGAACUCUCAAACAACAACUUGGCCUUCAUCAAACAGUGUAGGAUGGUUCAGGUUAUCUCAUUAAUUUAAUUGGCUCCCCUGGACAUGUUUGUUUUUCCUCUGAAGUUACAGCAGCUUUCCAUGCCAUUAAUGAUGUCCUUGAUGUGGCUGACUGUGUUUCAGGGUUUGUGUACAGGCAGAGGCUGUUCUGCAGAGACUGUUGCAGAAUGUAUCAAACCAAUACUGAUGAUGGACAAAAAUGGAUCGUGCUUUGCUGGAAUUGCUGCUGGAGCUGCAAUGAGAAAAUUUAGCAAGACGUUUCAGUGUGUUGUGGAAAUUGUCAGUGUCAUCAUUUCCACCUACAGAGAGGGUGAAACUGGACCAGUCUCAAAAACUGUGAUGCCAAAGGCCCUCUGAUGAUAUGUAUUUCCAAAAUGAUCCCCACAUCUGCCAAGGGGUGCCUUUGGGUGAGUAUUCUCUGGUAUCACUUCUACUCGACAGAAAGGUCAAAUUAUGGGACCAGAUUACACACCUGGCAAGAAAGAAGAUCAUUACCUAAAAUCCAUUCAAAGUGCAAUAUUGAAGAGUUUUGUGAACACAUCAUUGCUGGAGAACGGGCUCUGCAUCCAGAAAUCUGCCUUAAAGAUCUGGAAGAUCAUGCUUGUAUUCCAGUGAAGGUACUCAAGGAUUUUUGUGGACCACAGUGUAUAGAAUACGACUAAGUAUUAACCUUUGAAAAUAUCAUCUUAAUAUGCUGUUGCUGGUUUCCUUAGAGCAUCUUCCUUAAAGCAAUUUGAAACCUUU